rnacentral:rRNA from 1 species
GUCGUCAGGAUGAACGCUAGCUACAGGCUUAACACAUGCAAGUCGAGGGGCAGCAUGUUGGUUGCUUGCAACCAAUGAUGGCGACCGGCGCACGGGUGAGUAACGCGUAUCCAACCUUCCCUAUAGUAGAGGAUAGCCCGGCGAAAGUCGGAUUAAUACUCUAUGUUUUCCAAUGCAGACAUCUAAGUUGGAACAAAGGUUCACCGCUAUAGGAUGGGGAUGCGUCUGAUUAGAUAGUCGGCGGGGUAACGGCCCACCGAGUCGACGAUCAGUAGGGGUUCUGAGAGGAAGGUCCCCCACAUUGGAACUGAGACACGGUCCAAACUCCUACGGGAGGCAGCAGUGAGGAAUAUUGGUCAAUGGGCGAGAGCCUGAACCAGCCAAGUAGCCGUGCAGGAUGACGGCCCUAUGGGUUGUAAACUGCUUUUAUACAGGGAUAAAGUGACGUACGUGUACGUUUUUGUAGGUACUGUAUGAAUAAGGACCGGCUAAUUCCGUGCCAGCCGCUGC